AUGCUCCAGGAUGCUGAUACUUCAUUGACCCACCUAGCAUACCACUCAAUCCUGUUAGGUGCCUCAUCUCUCUGUUUACUCUGGCAAAGUUUAAGUCUACCUCCAAGUAAGCCUAAGGUUUAUGCAGAGCUGCAGAAAGGCUGCCUUUCAUGUUUGCCUGUCUGCUACAUCCAACGGAGCCCUGCCUGCAGGUGGUGUGUAAAGCUGUUAGGUGCCUACAAGAAAGGUAACAGGGUACUUGCAUCCUCUGCAAUAGGAAGAUGGAUCUUUACCUGUUCAGCUGAUCUGUGGUGUUGGGUGCUGUGACUGAAGACCGAGGGACAGAGAGGAGAGGCCAGACGAGGAUGGGCAACCUGCUCCCAGCUUCCAUCCUGCAGUGGUCUUCUGCCAUUGACAGCCACUCCUGGAGCCAAGCACUGAACAGGACUGGAGGUUUCAAACUGCCAAUACUGGAGCUGCACUGAUGGAGUUGAUAUGGUUGUGCAGAUUUAUUUUCUUUCCAUAAGCUUCCUAGGUCUCCUUUUAAACCCAGAACUCUCUUUGAAUGAAUAUUAUUGCUUGUCUAGGCUGUGGGAUCUCCAUCCUUGGGGGUUUUAGAGAGACAGGCAGACAAAACUAUGAGAAGCUUUCUGUCAUUAGCCUUGCUUUCAGUAGGAGGUUGAAUUAGAGACAUCCAGACAUCCCUUCCCACCUGUACUUCUAUGAGUUGAUGAGGAUAUUGUAUUAACUGUUUAGUUUAUUUUGUGUGUGCGUGCACGUUUAAUAAUUGUAAUACCAAACAUUUAAAUAGUCCAGAAAAACUUCACAGGAUUCAUAUGACUGAUAUGACAAAGCCAAGAUCACAUGUAUUUACUCUCCCUGGCUUCAUGCAGCAUGCAAGGAGUGUGGUAGCCCAUCUAAAUACCAUAUAAGUAUUAUAUGCAAAAUGUAAGCAAAAGUUUGUCCUCUGGAAGCUGUCCUGAAAGAGGACAUCACAGUAUAAAUUUGUAUGUGAAUCCUGCCCAGAAGCUGAGUGGAAUCUGG
rnacentral:lncRNA from 1 species